GACGUAGGGCGCGAGCGUUGUCCGGAUUUAUUGGGCGUAAAGAGCUCGUAGGCGGCUCAUUGCGUCAACCGUGAAAACCUGCCGCUCAACGGUAGGCUUGCGGUUGAUACGGGUGGGCUGGAGUUCGGUAGGGGAGACUGGAAUUCCUGGUGUAGCGGUGAAAUGCGCAGAUAUCAGGAGGAACACCGGUGGCGAAGGCGGCUCUCUGGGCCUUACCUGACGCUGAGGAGCGAAAGCUGGGGGAGCGAACAGG
rnacentral:rRNA from 1 species